AAGGUGCAGAGUUGGGAGGCGGUUGUGGGGCAUGCGGUACUGCAAGGGCACUCCGGGUCCAGGAGCUUCUGAGCGGGCUCGAUUUUCCGCGGCUGUUUAAGGAGUAGAACUUCGGUAGCCGCGGAGCUGGAGGGGAACCUGAUUUGAGAUCAAUUCUUGGAGAACACGAAGUGUGGUGGUAUGUUCCAGGUGUGAGUUUAAUUUAAAUGAUUGAACCAGCUGCCCUUUGACCCUGCCAACAACAACGAACCCCUGCAGUUUGGUAGUGCCACUGGCCCUCUGGUCGCAGAUGGCCUCAUUGAAAAUGGAGGGGAUUCAAGCAAGAAAAGAAAGAGAACAAAUACUC